UACGGGGGGGGCAAGCGUUGUUCGGAAUUACUGGGCGUAAAGGCUCGUAGGUGGCCAACUAAGUCAUACGUGAAAUCCCUCGGCUUAACCGGGGAACUGCGUCUGAUACUGGAUGGCUUGAGGUUGGGAGAGGGAUGCGGAAUUCCAGGUGUAGCGGUGAAAUGCGUAGAUAUCUGGAGGAACACCGGUGGCGAAGGCGGCUUCCUGGACCGACACUGACGCUGAGGCGCGAAAGCUAGGGGAGCAAACGGG
rnacentral:rRNA from 1 species